GGUUAAGUGACUAAGCGUACAUGGUGGAUGCCUUGGCAGUCAGAGGCGAUGAAGGACGUACUAACCUGCGAUAAGCCGUGAGCAGUCGGUAAGAGACAUUACGACUCACGGAU
rnacentral:rRNA from 1 species